UGCGGUGUACUUCAGUUGUAGAAUACCUGCCUAGCAUGUUGAGGCCCUGGGUUUAAUUCCCAGCAUUGCAA
rnacentral:tRNA from 1 species